rnacentral:rRNA from 1 species
CAAUAGCGUAUAUUUAAGUUGUUGCAGUUAAAAAGCUCGUAGUUGGAUUUCGGUUAAGAACGACCGGUCCGCCGUUUGGUGUGCACUGGUUGGUUUUAACUUCCUGUAGAGGACGUGCUCUGGGUUUAACGACCUGGACUCGGAGUCUACGUGGUUACUUUGAAAAAAUUAGAGUGUUCAAAGCGGGCUUACGCUUGAAUAUUUCAGCAUGGAAUAACACUAUAGGACUCCUGUCCUAUUUCGUUGGUCUCGGGACGGGAGUAAUGAUUAAGAGGAACAGUUGGGGGCAUUCGUAUUUCAUUGUCAGAGGUGAAAUUCUUGGAUUUAUGAAAGACGAACUUCUGCGAAAGCAUUUGCCAAGGAUGUUUUCAUUAA